ACGCGUCCACACGGGUGCCCUCGCAAGGGCUGAGAUCGGGCUGACGCGGCCUGCGACCGUCGAACCUGUCCGGGUCAUGCCGGCGUAGGAAGUGAGAGCUUUCCCUUG
rnacentral:ncRNA from 2 species